rnacentral:rRNA from 1 species
UACGGGGGGAGCAAGCGUUGUUCGGAUUUACUGGGCGUAAAGGGCGCGUAGGCGGUCGUGACAAGUCACUUGUGAAAUCUCCGGGCUUAACUCGGAAAGGUCAAGUGAUACUGUCGGACUAGAGUGCAGAAGGGGCAACUGGAAUUCUCGGUGUAGCGGUGAAAUGCGUAGAUAUCGAGAGGAACACCUGCGGCGAAGGCGGGUCUCUGGACAGUUCCUGACACUGAGGCACGAAGGCCAGGGGAGCAAACGGG